rnacentral:rRNA from 1 species
GACGAACGCUGGCGGCGUGCUUAACACAUGCAAGUCGAACGGAAAGGCCCUGCUUUUGUGGGGUGCUCGAGUGGCGAACGGGUGAGUAACACGUGAGUAACCUGCCCUUGACUUUGGGAUAACUUCAGGAAACUGGGGCUAAUACCGGAUAGAAGCUCCUGCUGCAUGGUGGGGGUUGGAAAGUUUCGGCGGUUGGGGAUGGACUCGCGGCUUAUCAGCUUGUUGGUGGGGUAGUGGCUUACCAAGGCUUUGACGGGUAGCCGGCCUGAGAGGGUGACCGGCCACAUUGGGACUGAGAUACGGAGCAGACUGCUACGGGAGGCAGCAGUGGGGAAUAUUGCACAAUGGGCGGAAGCCUGAUGCAGCAACGCCGCGUGCGGGAUGACGGCCUUCGGGUUGUAAACCGCUUUCGCCUGUGACGAAGCGUGAGUGACGGUAAUGGGUAAGGAAGCACCGGCUAACUACGUG